AUUUAGUACUGGUAGGAGAAGGACGACGAAAUGAUGGCGACCGCCGCAGAAGAAAUAUUUCAAAGCCCAUGUCCCAUUUCUGAGCGCCAUGUCACGACUAUGUCCAUCAAAAUUACGCGGAAAAACCAGGAUAAACCCUGGAAAUUGAGAUUAAUUUACCUGCAGUGCUAUUUUAUGUCAAUUGCAACCAUACUGGGAACUGGAAUCUUAGGACUUCCUGUCACAAUAGCACAUGCAGGACUCAUGCCUUUCCUGGUCUCCUUUAUAAUUGGUUUCUUUGUGCAGGCUCUCCUCAUAUACCUCUUUGUUGACCUGCUCCAGCGAUGCCAAGUUGUCCAGAUUGAGUCAUUGAAGACUACUGAGACAGAGCGAAUUCUAAUGCAAGACGUUGGAUUGGAGGAGCCUGCUCUCACUAAUACAGAGGAGGAAGAAGAGGAGGUGGAGGAUGGGGAAGAAGCAGACACGGGCCUCCUGCAGCAGGACACGGCCAGACAGACACUGGAGGAGAAGCUACAGCCUAAUCUCCAUGUGUUGGGGCUUCUCUUCCUCAGCAAGCCUAUGAGCCAUGCCUUCAACUUCAUCCUACUCUUCCAGUUUGUGUCUAUUGGGAUCAGCUAUGUCCUAGCUGGCAGUGAGGCCUACGCCGCUCUUCUACAUGUGAGCCAUAUCUAUGUCAUUCCUGGGUUUACCUGGACACUAUCUCUUGGAAUCCUGCUGGCUCAAAUGGUCAUUCAGCCAAUCACGUCGCUACUGACCCUCCUGAAAGGCAUCAUGCUGAUCAUCACAGUGGCCGUGACAUUUGCUUUGGGGUCAGAAGUUCAACAGGAGACCACAAAUGACUUUAGCCAAAUUGGUAAACCUUUCCUAAUGGGCACCGUUGCACUGGGAGGUAUUGUCAACGUGAUGCCUCUCCUGUUCUCAGAAAUAUCUCACAACAAGACACAGAUCAUGUGGUUCAGAAGAGUCAUACUGGGAGGACUAGCCACAUGCACCGUUCUGAAUAUAUUAUGGUGCUGGGCUGUUUUGGAGAUCGUCCCCCAGAUGUCAGUUCAGAGGGUUAUGGAGGAAGGUGUGGUGAACACUACCAGUAGUGUCGUCUCUGAGUCCUCUCCAACAGCCUACACCAUGGUCUACUCCAACAUCUCCCUGGAGGAGUCAGAGAAAGCAGGAGAGAUUGCAACAAUCCCACUGACAAAGAUAAUCAGUCUGAAGUACCGUCACUACUCGUGGGUGGCAGAGCUGAUACAGAUUUUUAUUGCCAUCAGUAUAACAGUGUCCUUUCUGGUGAUGGGAUCUGCCAUGAAGCACACAAUUGAUGGCCUUGUGAACUCACACUGGAACACCAAGUUGGAAUGGAUGUCUAAAGUCUGGGAGAGGACAUUACCACAGAGCUUCCACAGAUGCAGUUCAAGAGGUCUUGCCAAUGGGCUCAUAUCUCUGCUUGCAUUUGGAAUCAUUUUUAUUGUCUCGUCGUGUGAUCCAAGGGGAUUUGUGGUGAUGUUGGACAAAGUGGUGUCUUUCUCUUUGAACACUGAAGUUGGGUUGUUCAUCUUUGUGAUGCUGCGAGCCUCCAGAUCAGAGCGAUUUCAACACCUGACUGUGCCUCUGCCCGUGGGUCAGCGGGUCUUCCAACUCCACUGGAGCCUGCCUAUUUACUUCCUGUUUGCUGUGGCCUACGAUGUUAUCCAGAGCAUCGUAGAGAUAGCAGAGCACAAUUUACAGCACUCCUCCCAACCUCUCCUCACCAACUAUUCUCUGAGCUGA
ensembl:lncRNA uncharacterized LOC115158418